GAGAAGGAGAGGAAGAAAAUCAAAAGGGUUUCCUAUCCUUAAGGAUUUGUGUUUCUAAACCAAAUAAUAUGGAUUCUC